rnacentral:rRNA from 1 species
UACGUAGGGUGCAAGCGUUGUCCGGAAUUAUUGGGCGUAAAGAGCUCGUAGGCGGUCUGUCGCGUCGGCUGUGAAAACCCGAGGCUCAACCUCGGGCCUGCAGUCGAUACGGGCAAACUAGAGUACUGCAGGGGAGACUGGAAUUCCUGGUGUAGCGGUGAAAUGCGCAGAUAUCAGGAGGAACACCAAUAGCGAAGGCAGCUCGCUGGGACGGUACUGACGCUGAGGCGCGAAAGCGUGGGGAGCGAACAGG